UUGCCCGAUGAUUAUAAAAAAGACGCCUUAUUAGAGGACUUAAUGCUGGCAUUCUUUAUCUUUACCUUCUUUCUCUCUUUUCUGUACUACUUUUUCUUUCUUUGAAUGUCCAGCGUCCUGUGAGCGAAGAUUAUGAGAUAUGAGGGCAA
rnacentral:snoRNA from 1 species